rnacentral:lncRNA from 1 species
GUGCUUUGUUCCUGUUCCAACUGUUCCUUCCUCUACAUAGCUCUUCACCCAAAUCUUUGGGGUUGGGGUGAAGACUGCCAACCGCUGGUACCAGGAAGGGCUGCGAACCCUGGAUGACCUCCGAGGACAACCUCAGAAACUGACCAAGCAGCAGAAAGCAGGUGAGUCCCCCAGAGAGGACUGGCCUUGGGCUUCCACAAAGUCAUUUGGAUCUGGAAAGUUCUGUACACUGAAGCCCUCAUACUGGCACUGGAUGUACUGAUUGCAUGAGUGGCAGAGGUGGGUGGUGCAAAGGGGUCCUGGUAUCAGGUACGUGGACUUCUUGGAAUUUCUCUACCUGAAGUCAGAUUCUGCUGUGGCUCUUUUAGUGAGCAGUUGUGGUCACAGCAGUGCUGUGACCUCUAGGACCCAUGAGGCUCCCUCUGGUUAGGCUUGGACUUAGGUGAGGGACAGCCUGGGUCUUGACCCACCUAUCCAGGAUGUGCCUUGUGCAUAUGGGUCAGCUGAGUCCUGCCCACCAUUUUCCAGGUAUGUGACCAUGGUCCCAAGACUAAACUCUCUGAAUCUCAGUUACCUUUUCUGUGAAAUGGGAGAAAUGACAAUGUGGAAUGCCAUAAACUCCUCUGUGAUCCAGCAGGUGGCAGGUAUUAAGCAGACACUCAUUCGGCCUGUGUGUCCUGCCUGGUGCUGCCACCAUACUGUCUGGACCUAGCCUGGUUGAGGGCUUUGCUAAAGGCACCAUAACCAGCAGUAUGCCCAUUCCCCACCUCUUUGCACAUCUCCCUGGGGCUCCAGCAUAGUGCAGAUGACAGUCAGAGAAACCUACUUUUUUUAACCUGUUCUCAGGACAAAGGUAGAUAGUAUUACCAUCCAUUGUUUACUAAGGACUUGUUCUGUGCUGGAUGCUGCUGUUCUUCACAUUUAAAUCUUUCUUUAACUACAUGUGGAAGGUACGAUGAUAUCCCCUUGACAGGUGAGGAAAUAGAAGCAGGCUAAAAGAUGGGUUUCUAUUGGUAGAGUUACCUUCUUCACACUUUUUUGCCACCUUUUUGUUGCAUUUUAUUUAUGGGAAAACAGAAGGCUUAAAAGAAAUAUCUGCAGCCUGCUUGUGUCAACAUCAGUACCCUUAGAUUGAGUUCUAUGAGAUUUGUAAGGUGUUACCUUUGAGGGGAACUGGGUAAAGGGCACAGAGACCCCCCACCUCCCUCUCUCCCCCCUCCCCCUUUCCCCCUCCCCCUCCCUCCCUCCCUCCCUCCUUCCUUCCUUCCUUCCUUCCUUCCCUCCCUCUCUCUUUCCCUCAUUCCCUGUCUCCCUCCCUCCCUCCCUCUCUCUCUCUCUUUGGGGGCGGUACUGGGGAUUGAACUGAGGGGCACUUGACCACUUGACCCAUCCCCAACCCUAUUUUGUAUUUUAUUUAGAUACAGGGUCUCACUGAGUUGCUUAGUGCUUUGCUUUUGCUGAGGCUGGCUUUGAACUUGCGUUCUUCUUGCCUCAGCCUCCCGAGUGCUCAGCCCAGCUGAGCAUCUCUUUUAAUUCCCAUGAACUGCGUGUGAAUCUACUAAUUAUCUCAAAAUUAAAAUUUAAUAUUUAAAAGGGGAUAGUGUCAUGCUUCUAUUGGGAUCACUCAGCUUCUGCCAUAGCCUGUCCCUCCUCAGAGGCUUUUCCCUAUCUCACAGCCACAGGGAUGGGUGACUGCCUGAUACUAGAGGAUGGGGCUCUGUGGGGAAUGCAGGCUGAGAGAGUCAGGAGGACUGUGCUGCCCACAGGGCUCCAGCAUCACCAGGACUUAAGCACUCCAGUUGGACGGCCUGAUGCUGAGGCUCUGCUGCAACUGGUAGAGACAGUCGUGGGCCAGGUCCUGCCUGGGGCCACUGUCACGCUGACUGGUGGCUUUCGAAGGUAAGGGGGUUUGACAUACCCUUCUGGCUCACCUCCAGGACUCUCCCCAAUGCAGUUGGGGACAUUGAGGUGGCUUUCCCAUUCACUGGGAGGGGCAUGGCCCAUAGCUGGAAUGAGGGCUAUGUCCUUAUCCUUCUCAGGGGCAAGUUACAGGGCCAUGAUGUGGACUUCCUUAUCACCCACCCUGAGGAGGGCCAGGAGGCAGGGUUGCUGCCGAGAGUGAUGUGCCACCUGCAGAGCCAGGUGAGGGCUUCUGGUGCCUCUGCCCAAGAGUUGACUGCUACCUGGCCUUCUGUUCUCCUAGUACCAUGGUGGUGCCUGGCCACAUCUGCCUUUCCCCACAGGGCCUUAUCUUGUAUCAUCAGCACCAAGCCAGCUGCUUAGAGACCCCUACUCACCUUGUCCAGCGGAGCCAUACCAUGGAUGCCUUUGAGAGGAGUUUCUGCAUCUUCCGCCUGCCUCAACCCCCAGGAGCUGCCUUGGGGGGUGUCCUGAAGCCUUGCUCAGCGUGGAAAGCUGUGAGGGUAGAUCUGGUGGUUGCUCCCAUCAGCCAGUUCCCUUUUGCUCUGCUUGGCUGGACUGGCUCUCAGGUAGGUUGUGUGCUGCUGAGGCUGCCAGGGCUGAGGUGAGCCAACCAUACUGAGGGCAGUUACUCCCCCCAGCUUUUUGAGCGGGAACUGCGCCGAUUCAGCCGGAAAGAGAAGGGACUGUGUCUGAAUAGCCAUGGACUGUUUGACCCAGAGCAGGUAUGUCAAGGAUUAGGGUGGGAAACAACCCCCUAGCCUGCUUCCUGGAUCACAGCCUGAAAUGGCCCUAAAUCUCUCCAUCCUGGAACCCAUGGUGCCCAGAUCUUGGUCUUACCUCCCAGAUCCUAGCCCUCCCCAAAAGGCAUCUUGCCUUAGCACUGGGCUCUGCCUCCCCAUCUAGCCUGUCUCCAGGGGAGCCAUCCUGGCUGGGCACCCUGUGCAUUGUGCAAUGGUGCCACUGGGCAUGGCCCCCAGCUUCUGAAGCCUCUGCUUCUGUUGCAGAAGACAUUUUUCCAUGUGGUUUCCGAAGAAGACAUUUUCAGACACCUGGGCCUCAAGUACCUUCCCCCAGAGCAGAGAAAUGCCUGAUCCAGCCCAUCUGCCCUCACUCCUCUUAGGAAACGGGGGGCUGCUGGACACUUUUGAAUAUCUCCAGGCAGAAGAUACGCUGCCACGCCAUAUCCUCAUCUCCAAGUGGAAGAGUCUUUACCUGUGGGAGCGUCUGUGAGGCGCGGCCUUCCUCACACUCCAGCCUUAUAGCUGUGUGAUCAUGGUCAGCAUUCAGCCUCCCCAGGCCUCAGGUUCCCACCUGGGUCAGGAAAUCUGAGCAGUACUCAAGUCAUGGAGCUGUGGCAGAGCCUGCAGUCCCAGUGCGGCAAUUGAGGUGUGGUUGAAUGUCUUCUAUAGGGCACCCCACUCAGUUGCCCAGAAGAGAACCGUGUAUCCCUGCCCUGCACUUGAGCCAUGAGGUGGAAGCUGUAGUUCUUGCUCUUAGGAGUCCUCUGUGGAGGUUAAAAUGGGUAUGCUGCAAUCACCUGGAAUGAGUGAAGGUCCAAGUCACGAGAACUUCCAAUGCUGGGAUUUUGGCACUGCAGCCCCUACCCUGCUUCUGCCUUUAAGUCCUAUACUCUCCCUACUUCAAAACAGGUCACACCCUGCCACUUCUUGCUCAUAGUCCUGCGGCAUUCCAAAUCCCCAAAUCCUCAUGUGAUCCCCUAGGGUUCUAGCAUUUCUGCCACCCCUGCCAAUCUCAUCUGCACUCUUCUUUCAAUACCCCCCGCCCCACCCCUCAUUUGCUUCCUGUUUCACUGUUUCCUACUGAUGUGCUCAGACCCCAUGUCUCUGACUCCCUCCCCUUUCUAAGGCAGAAACACUGAAAUGAGCUGGACACACAGGUGUCCUGUGUGUUCCCUGAUCUCCUUCAGGGCCUUUGCCUUUGCCACUCUUCGCCUCCUUCAGGACUUGACUCAAGGUCAUCUUGUCAGUCACAGCUUCCCAGACUACUCACCACAUCACAAAGUGUUUUUUAAAUUAACAUGCAAUAAAAUGCUAUCUUUUAAGGUUUGUUUUUAAUGAGCUUUAACACAGGUAUAGACUCUGCCAUCUCAGGACCCAAAGGUCUGUCCCCCAAGCAUUGCCUUAUGCCAUUGCAUUAUUGCCACAUGUUCUUUAUCCCAACUCACUCAUUUUGUUCACUUAUCUACAAUUUUGCCCUCUCCAGAAUCUCAUAGAAGUGGAACCAAAUUCUCCCUUUUACUUGCCUCUCUCUCAUCAUGCCUUUGAGAUUCACUCAGGUUUUUGCAUAUAUUGAUAGUUUAUUUUUAUUUAUUGCCACAUAAUAUUACAUUCAUGGGGUGUUCCAGGAUUUAUCUGUUCAGCUACUGAAGAAUGUUUAGAUUGUUUCCAGGGUUUGGUGAUUAUGAAUAGAGCUACUGUAGCCAUGUGUAUAUAGAUUAGUGGGUAACAUACCUUUUCAGUUCUCUUGGGUAAAUAUGAAGGUAUAGGAAUAUUGGGUUAUAUGAAAAGUAUGUUUUUAAGAAAGAGCUAAAUUGUUCAGAAUGCCUGUCAUUUUCCAUUUUAUCAGCAGUGUGAGCCACCCAUAUAAGUUAAACAUUUCAUAGUAGCAGUUACUGUGUAUCUGUCAGCAAUUGAUAAUUUUGGUUUUUAUUUUAGCUGUUCUAUGAUAGGUCUGUAGCACUAAUUAACUGCCUUCCUUUUUUUUUUUCCCCUUUCCCUUCCUUUCUGGGGAUUGAAACCACGGGCUUGUGAAAUAGUAAGCUCACACUCUGCCAUUGAGCUAUAAUCCCAGCCCAUUUAUUAUGGUGGGUUUUUUUUGGUGUGUGUGUGUGUGUGUUUGUGUUUGUGUGUGUGUGUGUGGCAGGACUAGGGUUUGAUACCAGGGCCUUGCAAAUGUUAGGCAAGCACUCUACUCUGGGCCACAUCCCCAUCAAUACUUUUAUUUAUUUUUAUGUGAUGCUGAGGAUUGAACCCAGUACCUCACACAUGCUAGGUAAGCACUCUAACACUGAGCUACAACCCCAGCUCCCCAUCCUUUUUUAUUUUGGGAUAAGGUCUCUAAGUUGCCCAGACUGCUUUGAAGUUUCAAUCCUCUUACCUCUGUCUCCUGAGUAUCUGGGAUGAAGGCAUGACCACCGUGCUCAGCUGUUAUUUUUUUGUUUUUGUUUUAGGAGCAGUCUUUUAUUUAUUUAUGUUUGCAGUCUUUUGUUUUUAUACACUUUGACAAAGAGGUUUUCAGGAGGCAAUCUUUUCAGUGGAAAAUAGAGAACAUGAAAAUUUGCCUCCAGCUAUCAGUAGCUGCUCUGUUCAGAGUCUGUCAUCCCACUUGCUCAAGGAAUGAAGUGGAGGGGUGUAUUUCCCUUCCUUUCCUAGCUGAUUUCAGUACUUUAUCCUCCCAACACCUGUACUAGGGUUUGAACCCCAAGGGGUGCUUAACCACCGAGCCACAUCCCUAGUCCUUUUUUAUUUUUUAUUUAGACAGGGUCUUACUGAGAUGCUUAGGGCCUUGCUAAAUUGUUGAGUCUGGCUUUGAACUCAUGAUCCUCCUGUAACUGGGGUUACAGGUCUGCCCUCGAAUCCUACUGCUUCUUGAUGGUAUUCAUGUGUUUUGUCAUUUUCUGCCUAAGCAUAUAUUCUGUGAAAUCAAAUCUGUUUUGUACUCUAUGCCUAGAUGUUAUUGGUUUUAUGUGCACAUGCUCUCCAUUCUUUUUCAAAAGCAUGGCAUUGAAUAGGAACUUUGGAUUGUCAUCUAAUGGUCUAUAUUAAGGCCCAGCCUUUUCUGCACAUCAGAAAAAGGCAUGGCACUUGGUUCACACCUGUAAUCCCAGGAACUCGGGAGAUGAGGCAGAAGGAUUGCAAGUUUGAGGUCUCAGAUUUUUUAAAAUGACAGGGAUGUAACUCAGAGGUAGCACUCCCCUGGGUUUAGUUCCCCCGCAAAAAAAGGGGGAAAAAAUGGCAUGACAUCCUGCCAUACAGCCCUUAUCUUCUUGCUGCCACUGCUUUCAGUGGAAGUUUAGAUUGUUAAUUUGAGAUCUUUCUUUUUUCCUAAUAUAAGCACGUAAUGCUUUAAAUUUCCCUCUGAGCAUUACUUUAGCUUCAUCCUACAAAUUUGAUGUAUUGUGGUUUUUUUGGUGGGGGAGAUGGGUACUGGAUAUUGAACCCAGAGGCGCUUAACCACUGAACCACAUCUCCAGCCCUUUCUAUUUUUCAUUUUGUGACAUGGUCUCAGUAAGUUGCUUAGGACCUCACUAAAUUGCUGAGGCUGGCUUUGGACUUGUGAUUCUCCUGCCUCCACCACUCAAAUUGCUGGGAUUAAAGCUGUGUGUCACUGUGCCCACGGAGUAUAUUUUUAUUUUUUAUUCAAUUGGAAAUGUUUCCUUUUUUGGUGGGGGGAGGAGGGUACCAGGGAUAUUGGACCACAUACUGAGCCCCAUCCCCAGCCUUUGUUUGCAUUUCAUUUAGAGAUUGUCUCGCUGAGUUGCUUAGUGCCUUGCUUUUGCUGAGGCUGGAUUUGAACUUUCGAUCCUCUGCCUCAGCCUCCUGAACCACUGGGAUUACAGUGUGAGCCACCAUGCCCAGCAAAAAUGUUUUCUAGGGCUGGGGAUGUGGCUCAAGCGGUAGCACGCUCGUCUGGCAUGCGUGCGGCCUGGGUUCGAUCCUCAGCACCACAUACAAACAAAGAUGUUGUGUCCGCCAAUAACUAAAAAAUAAAUAUUAAAAAAACUCAAAAAAAAGUGUGGGAUAAUAUUAAAACAAAUACACUUUGAAAAAAAAAUGUUUUCUAAUUCUUCUUGAGACUUUUUCCUUGAUCCAUGGAAUAUUUAGAAGAGUGUGUUCUGUUUCCAAGUGUUGGAAGGUUUUUCCCAUUUAUAUAUAUAUAUAUAUAUAUAUAUAUAUAUAUAUAUAUACACACACACAUAUAUGUAUAUGUGUGUAUAUGUGUGUAUAUGUGUAUAUAUGUAUGUGUAUAUGUGUAUAUAUGUAUGUGUAUAUGUGUACAUAUGUAUGUGUAUAUAUGUACAUAUGUGUGUAUGUGUAUAUAUGUAUACAUAUGUGUAUGUGUAUAUAUGUAUACAUAUGUGUGUAUGUGUAUAUAUGUACAUAUGUGUGUAUGUGUAUAUAUGUACAUAUGUGUGUAUGUGUAUAUAUGUAUGUAUAUAUAUGUGUGUAUAUGUAUAUAUAUGUGCGUGUGUAUAUGUAUAUAUGUAUGUAUGUGUAUAUACGUGUAUAUAUGUAUGUAUGUAUAUAUGUAUGUGUGUAUAUGUGUAUAUAUAUGUAUAUGUGUAUAUAUGUAUAGGUGUAUAUAUAUGUAUAGGUGUGUAUGUGUGUAUGUGUGUGUAUAUGUGUGUAUAUGUGUGUGUAUGUGUUAAUUGACACUAUUGUUCACAUCUAUAUCCUUAUUUAUUUUCUGUCUAGUGAAUUACUAAGAGGAGACUUGAUGUCUUUUUUUCUUUUUUUGGUAUUGGGAAUUGAACCCAGGGGCACUUUACCACUGAGCUACAUCCCCAGAAUUUUUUAUUUUUUAUUUUUGAGAGAAGGUCUUGCAAAGCUGGCCUUGAAUUUGUGAUUCUCCUGCUUCAGCCUCCUGAGUCACGUGGGAUUAUGGUGGGGUUAUGGAAGUGACCAUACCCAAUCUGAAGUCUUAAACUAUAAUUGUAGAUUCCUUCAUUUCUCCUUUCAGUUAUUUCAUAUUGUGAUUCAUGUACUUGGAAGCUCUGUUGUAGGAAUUUUUAUAUCUUCUUAGUAUCAUUGUUAUAUAAUGUCCUUUUAUUCCUAAUAUAUUUUCUUGUUCUGAAAUCUACUUUGUUUUUUUUUUUUUUUUUUUUUUUUUUAAAGUGUAACUUCCCCCAUGCGAUUAUUACAUUUCUCUUUUUUAUUUUUUUUUUAAUGAGAGAGGGAGGGGGGGAGAGAGAGAGAGAGAAUUUUUAAUAUUUAUUUUUUAGUUUUCGGCGGACACAACAUCUUUGUUUGUAUGUGGUGCUGAGAAUCGAACCCGGGCCUCACGCAUGCCAGGAGAGCGCGCUACCGCUUGAGCCACAUCCCCAGCCCCCUGAAAUCUACUUUGAUAGAAAUAUAUCUGUUCCAGCUUUUGAUUAGUGUUUGAGUGAUAUAUCCUUUUCCUUCUAACCUACAUAAUUUUUGCCUUUUUUGGGGGGUGGGUAGGUACCAGGGAUUGAACUCAGAAGCACUGAACCACUGAGCCACAUCCCCAGUCCUAUUUUCUAUUUUAUUUAGGGACAAGGUCUCACUGAGUUGCUUAGUACCUCGCUGUUGCUGAGGCUGGCUUUGAACUCUCGAUCCUCCUGUCUCAGCCUCCCUAGCCCCUGGGAUUACAGACAUGUGCCACUGCACCUGGAAAUAUAUUUUUGCCUUUUAUUAUUUGUUUUGGGGGUGAAAUUGGACUCUGGGUCUUAUGCAUAUUAAACAUGUGCUCUACCACUUGGCUCUCAGCCUACCUUUUACUGUUUUUUGUUUGUUUGUUUGAUUUUUGUUGUGCUGGGGAUGGAAUCUGGGAACUUGUGCAUGCUAGGAAGGUACUCUAUCACUGAACUAUCCCACCACAAUCACCUAUCUGUCUUUUUCAUGAUAACNACACUCUGCCAUUGAGCUAUAAUCCCAGCCCAUUUAUUAUGGUGGGUUUUUUUUGGUGUGUGUGUGUGUGGCAGGACUAGGGUUUGAUACCAGGGCCUUGCAAAUGUUAGGCAAGCACUCUACUCUGGGCCACAUCCCCAUCAAUACUUUUAUUUAUUUUUAUGUGAUGCUGAGGAUUGAACCCAGUACCUCACACAUGCUAGGUAAGCACUCUAACACUGAGCUACAACCCCAGCUCCCCAUCCUUUUUUAUUUUGGGAUAAGGUCUCUAAGUUGCCCAGACUGCUUUGAAGUUUCAAUCCUCUUACCUCUGUCUCCUGAGUAUCUGGGAUGAAGGCAUGACCACCGUGCUCAGCUGUUAUUUUUUUGUUUUUGUUUUAGGAGCAGUCUUUUAUUUAUUUAUGUUUGCAGUCUUUUGUUUUUAUACACUUUGACAAAGAGGUUUUCAGGAGGCAAUCUUUUCAGUGGAAAAUAGAGAACAUGAAAAUUUGCCUCCAGCUAUCAGUAGCUGCUCUGUUCAGAGUCUGUCAUCCCACUUGCUCAAGGAAUGAAGUGGAGGGGUGUAUUUCCCUUCCUUUCCUAGCUGAUUUCAGUACUUUAUCCUCCCAACACCUGUACUAGGGUUUGAACCCCAAGGGGUGCUUAACCACCGAGCCAC